rnacentral:rRNA from 1 species
GAUGAACGCUAGCGGCAGGCUUAAUACAUGCAAGUCGUGGGGCAGCAGGGGUAGCAAUACCCGCUGGCGACCGGCAAACGGGUGCGGAACACGUACACAACCUUCCUUAAAGUGGGGAAUAGCCCAGGGAAACUUGGAUUAAUACCCCGUAAUAUUAUUGAAUGGCAUCAUUUGAUAAUUAUAGCUCCGGCGCUUAAAGAUGGGUGUGCGGCUGAUUAGGUAGUUGGCGGGGUAACGGCCCACCAAGCCUGCGAUCAGUAACUGGUGUGAGAGCACGACCAGUCACACGGGCACUGAGACACGGGCCCGACUCCUACGGGAGGCAGCAGUAAGGAAUAUUGGUCAAUGGACGCAAGUCUGAACCAGCCAUGCCGCGUGGAGGAUGAAGGUCCUCUGGAUUGUAAACUUCUUUUAUCUGGGAAGAAACCCAAGGUUUCUACUUUGGUUGACGGUACCAGAUGAAUAAGCACCGGCUAACUCCGUGC